UGGGGAAUAUUGCACAAUGGGCGCAAGCCUGAUGCAGCCAUGCCGCGUGUGUGAAGAAGGCCUUCGGGUUGUAAAGCACUUUCAGCGAGGAGGAAGGUGGUGAGCUUAAUACGCUCAUCAAUUGACGUUACUCGCAGAAGAAGCACCGGCUAACUCCGUGCCAGCAGCCGCGGUAAUACGGAGGGUGCAAGCGUUAAUCGGAAUUACUGGGCGUAAAGCGCACGCAGGCGGUUUGUUAAGUCAGAUGUGAAAUCCCCGGGCUCAACCUGGGAACUGCAUUUGAAACUGGCAAGCUAGAGUCUCGUAGAGGGGGGUAGAAUUCCAGGUGUAGCGGUGAAAUGCGUAGAGAUCUGGAGGAAUACCGGUGGCGAAGGCGGCCCCCUGGACGAAGACUGACGCUCAGGUGCGAAAGCGUGGGGCAGCAAACAGGAUUAGAUACCCUGGUAGUCCACGCUGUAAACGAUGUCGAUUUUGGAGGUUGUGCCCUUGAGGCGUGGCUUCCGGAGCUAACGCGUUAAAGUCGACCACCUGGGGGAGUACGGCC
rnacentral:rRNA from 1 species